AUGUCUGGCUUAUUUCACUUUGCCAGACUUAUUUCACAUCCUCCAGGUUCAUCCAUGUUGUCAGAAAUGGAAUCAAGAGAUGGGAGGGUCCGUAAGUUCCAACUCCUUUGUCCUUUUUGGAUUGUGCUGAGAUUGUGCAGUUCUUCUUUGCAAACAUCUCAGAAAGAUUUUGUGUGGUAUUUCUCCUGGAUCCCUCUUGUG
rnacentral:lncRNA from 1 species